rnacentral:lncRNA from 1 species
AUGCACAUAUCCCGGGAACGGAUGUACUACUCGCAUUUCUUCAUUGUUUCGUUCUUCUUCUCCGUACUCGUUUGGAGCUUCCUAAUCAGCUACUUCAUGUUCAUUUUCUGCGAAGCUCCAACGGGCAGACUGGACAAACUCAUGUUCGAAGGUCGACGUGCGACAAAAGAGAAGGACCCCAAGGACGAAGUUCCGAAUGCCAACGGUAGUGAGGCAAUGACGUCG